GCGUGAAUGGUUUAGUGGUAAAAUCCAUCGUUGCCAUCUUGUCCUCGUUACGAGGACAGUUGAUUCGAUGGGCCCCCGGUUCGAUUCCGGGUUCACGCA